GCUCGGAUCUGUGAAUCAGCAACAUUGGGCAGCAUCAGUGUGCUAGUGCCAGCGAGUCUAUCUUCCAGCAACGAUUCUUCAUCCGGGAAGCAGUAGCCUUGUAGAAACAUUGGUUGUGCAUCUGAGGUAGUGAGCAGCACCAUUGUACUUGUGCCGACGAUUCCACCUACCGGCAGUGAGUCAACAUCGGGGAGUUAGGUAGCUGAUAGCGAUGCUAGUACACUUGGAGGAGGAUCCCGAC